GUAAUUUGAGAUACAAUUGAUGGAGCUGAAUUUGGUUUAACUCGAAUUUUUAUUUAAUUUUAGUAUUAUAGUCUUUCAAAAGAUUCCAACAUGGAAAUAUAAAAUAUUGGCACUAUCAAUUGCUUACUGCUUUUGGUCUCAUAAACUUGGGAACAAGGAUGGUGCAUUAGUGGUCAAAUAGCUAUAAUCAACUGUGAGUUGCAUCCCAUGUUUUUCAACCACAACCACCAUUGCCAAUGAUUAUUACUUCAAUCUUGGAUUGCAUGAGGAUUCAGAAUUUCAUCACUACUGUUUAGACUUUAGAGAUUAUUUUCCAUGUUUUUAUAUAAUCAUGCUUGAAAUUGGAAUCGAUGAAUCAAAAGCAUAUACUUUAUAUUGUACUAUUAUUACAUGGCAUAUUAUAUUGACAGCGUGUACAAGAUAUAAUUAA
rnacentral:lncRNA from 1 species